rnacentral:rRNA from 1 species
AUUGAACGCUGGCGGCAGGCCUAACACAUGCAAGUCGAGCGAGAAAGGUCUUCGGACUGAGUACAGCGGCGGACGGGUGAGUAAAGCGUAGGAAUCUACCUGGUAGUGGGGGAUAACUUGGGGAAACUCAAACUAAUACCGCAUACGCCCUACGGGGGAAAGCGGGGGACCGUUCGGGCCUCGCGCUAUCAGAUGAGCCUGCGUAGGAUUAGCUAGUUGGUGAGGUAAAGGCUCACCAAGGCGACGAUCCUUAGCUGGUCUGAGAGGAUGAUCAGCCACACUGGGACUGAGACACGGCCCAGACUCCUACGGGAGGCAGCAGUGGGGAAUAUUGCGCAAUGGGCGAAAGCCUGACGCAGCCAUGCCGCGUGUGUGAAGAAGGCCUUAGGGUUGUAAAGCACUUUCAAUUGGGAAGAAAAGUUGGUCGUUAAUAGCGGCCAGCCCUGACAUUACCUUUAGAAGAAGGACCGGCUAACUCCGUGCCAGCAGCCGCGGUAAUGUCGUACGA